CCCAGACUCCUACGGGAGGCAGCAGUGGGGAAUAUUGCACAAUGGGGGGAACCCUGAUGCAGCGACGCCGCGUGAGUGAAGAAGUAUUUCGGUAUGUAAAGCUCUGUCAGCAGGGAAGAAGAAAGACGGUACCUGACCAAGAAGCCCCGGCUAACUACGUGCCAGCAGCCGCGGUAAUACGUAGGGGGCAAGCGUUAUCCGGAUUUACUGGGUGUAAAGGGAGCGUAGACGGCAGUGCAAGUCUGGAGUGAAAGGCGGGGGCUCAACCCCCGGACUGCUCUGGAAACUGUACGGCUGGAGUGCAGGAGAGGUAAGUGGAAUUCCUAGUGUAGCGGUGAAAUGCGUAGAUAUUAGGAGGAACACCAGUGGCGAAGGCGGCUUACUGGACUGUAACUGACGUUGAGGCUCGAAAGCGUGGGGAGCAAACAGGAUUAGAAACCCUUGUAA
rnacentral:rRNA from 1 species